GACGAACGCUGGCGGCGUGCUUAACACAUGCAAGUCGAACGGAAAGGCCCUGCUUUUGUGGGGUGCUCGAGUGGCGAACGGGUGAGUAACACGUGAGUAACCUGCCCUUGACUUUGGGAUAACUUCAGGAAACUGGGGCUAAUACCGGAUAGGAGCUCCUGCCGCAUGGUGGGGGUUGGUAAGAUUCGGCGGUUGGGGGUGGACUCGCGGCUUAUCAGGUUGUUGGUGGGGUAGUGGCUUACCAAGGCCUUGACGGGUAGCCGGCCUGAGAGGAUGACCGGCCACAUUGGGCCUGAGAUGCGGCCCGGACUCCUACGGGAGGCAGCGGUGGGGAAUAUUGCACAAUGGGCGGGAGCCUGAUGCAGCAACGCCGCGUGCGGGAUGACGGCCUUCGGGUUGUAAACCGCUUUCGCCUGUGACGAAGCGUGAGUGACGGUAAUGGGUAAAGAAGCACCGGCUAACUACGUG
rnacentral:rRNA from 1 species